CGCCCACGGUUCGGCCUCCCUCCCGCCUGGCUCGGCGCUCCUCCGCCCGAGUUCUCCAUCCCCUGGAUCCCGGGCUCGCGGGGGCGCGGAGAAGAGGAUCCAGGAAAGCCUUCCUUGGCCUCUUCACCUGCAUGGCCUCCUUGCUGGAACCCAGCCUGGAAAAAUUAAGCUUUCCUAUCGCCAUGCCCUGUGGGAUUGAGAAGGAUCUAGCUGAAUGCCAUUGAGCCAAAGAAAGAAGAGGCAGUCACCGAACAAACCUUCCUGGAAAUAGAGAUCUCCCUGUAUCCAAAGACGGCAAUUCCCUGAUAACUCCCCAAUGAGGCCAAGGCGACAGUUGCAGAUCUGUGUGUGCAAGCUUGGGGGUCAGAUCCUAGCUGCAGCACGCAGCAGCUGUGUGACUUCAGGGGAGCCCUGCACCUCCCUGAUUCUCAUUCACAGUGAUGAGUAGUAGCCCCUUCUCCCAGGGAUUUGGGAGGAUGUGCAGACUGUGCCUGCGAACUUGCCUGGCAUGUGAGACAGAGUCUUACUCUGUCACCUAGACUAGAGUAGAAUGGAACAAUCACAGCUCACUUGCAACAUAGAAACCCCAGGGAAUAAGGGAUCAUCCUGCCUUGGUACACUUUUGGAACCCAUUGUGAUGGGGUUACCUGGACUUGUAGGGCAAGCCACAAACCCACUGGCUGUUCAUGAGCUCUAUCAAGUUACCACUUACUGUUUUUUCUAAAAAAGACUUGACUUUAGAGAGCACUUUUAGGUUCACAGCAAAAUUGAAAGGAAGGUACAGAGGUUUCCCAGACAUAACCCAACCUCCCAUAUAACCUUAUUG